GCGAGAAAACUUUGCAAUGAGCGAAAGCUCGACAAGGUUAAUCCGAGUGGUUUCUGCUAAAGAAAUCUUUUGUUAGUUGUAAAACUACUAACGAAUAAGGGGUGGGCAAGUUCUGGUGUCAGCCGCCGCGGUAAAACCAGCACCUCAAGUGGUCAGGAUGAUUAUUGGGCCUAAAGCAUCCGUAGCCUGUUUUGUAAGUCUCCGGUUAAAUCCAUCAACUCAAGUGAUGGGCUGCCGGAGAUACUGCAAAACUAGGGAAUGGGAGAGGUAGACGGUACUCGGUAGGAAGGGGUAAAAUCCUUUGAUCUAUUGAUGACCACCUGUGGCGAAGGCGGUCUACCAGAACAUGUUCGACGGUGAGGGAUGAAAGCUGGGGGAGCAAACCGG
rnacentral:rRNA from 1 species